UCAGACGAUGCGUCAUGCAUAUCAAUAAGCGGAGGAAAAGAAACUAACAAGGAUUCCCCUAGUAACGGCGAGUGAAGCGGGAAGAGCUCAAAUUUGAAAUCUUAAAGGGUUUCCCUUUACGAAUUGUAGUUUAAAGAAGUGUUUUCUGUUGAGGUUUUGGUAAAAGUUCUUUGGAAUAGGACAUCAUAGAGGGUGAGAAUCCCGUAUUUGACCAUUACUUUCAGCUGUGUGAUACACUUUCAAAGAGUCGGAUUGUUUGGGAAUGCAGUCCAAAAUGGGUGGUAAAUUUCAUCUAAAGCUAAAUAUUGGCGAGAGACCGAUAGGCGAACAAGUACCGUGAGGGAAAGAUGAAAAGAACUUUGAAAAGAGAGUUAAACAGUACGCGAAAUUGUCAAAAGGGAAGCGUUUGACACCAGUGUUGUUUUUCUGAAAAUCAAUUAAAGAACUGUUUAUGCUAAGUUGUUUAGACUUUAUCAGCUAUCUGUUUAGUUUUGAGCUUUUCUUUAAUGCACUUUUCAGUUAACAAGUCAACAUCAAUUUCUUUUGCUGUAAAAAAGCUUGAGGAAGGUGGCUUGAGAUUCGUCUUAAGUGUUUAUAGCCUCUUGCCUAUGCAGUCGGAGAGAUUGAGGUCUGCAGCGUAGAUCCUUCGGGGCUAAAUGCAUUUGUGCUAAGUUAUAGCAUUUUAUAGACAACUUGUUGACUAUGAUUUGUCUUGUAGCUUACUCGCUUAUGUUAUUUUACCUACGCUUAGGAUGUUGAGCGCAUGUCUCUCUCU
rnacentral:rRNA from 1 species